UAGGGAAUAUUGGACAAUGGGGGAAACCCUGAUCCAGCCAUGCCGCGUGUGUGAUGAAGGCCUUCGGGUUGUAAAGCACUUUUAGUUGGGAAGAAAACAAUGACGGUACCAACAGAAAAAGCACCGGCUAACUCUGUGCCAGCAG
rnacentral:rRNA from 1 species